rnacentral:lncRNA from 1 species
AAAGCCGCUUGGCUGUGGAAAAGAGCAGAGCACAAGAAAGCUACCAACCACAGACUGGGGUUGCUGCUCCCCUUCCGAGUCAGGCAAAACUAGGAGCAGGACUAUCAAGGGCUUAGGACAUCCGACUUUAGUCCAAUAAACACAGGAUCCUUAUGGGACAUCUUUCAGAGUCCACAGGAGGCCUCUGGGCGAAGGCUGCUAAGCCUGAAAAGAGCUGGUUCACAGCCACAGUUGAGGACAGCUUGGAGGGAGUGCCGGUCCACAACAGUGUGUUCUUGACAUGGAGAUUCAGCAGUGCUUGGAUACGAUCUAUAAGAAUAGUCUUAAGAUACAGUGGAACCCAAGUUUGUUACAGAAAAUCAGGACGGGGGAGCAAAGUCCCGGAGUGGAAAGGGGGAAGGGAAACGCAGUUGAGGCACUAGCUUCAGGAGGUGGGAGUUACAGUGCAGCUCAGGUCUCCUGACAGCCAGAGAGCGUGUCAGGAACCAGAGGGAUCCUGCUUACUGCUGGGCAGGGUAAGUGUGGCAGACCUCCUCUUCCCUGCCUGAAAGGAAGACUAGCGACAAGGCAGAAGUUAUCUCGGGCUGUCAGGGGUGUCUUGGGGAAUAGGAGUCCCUAUUUCCAGUGCUGAAUAAGCUCACAGGCAUCCAGCUCCAAGAAAAUUUGAGAAGUUCCCCAGCACUCUGGUGAGUGAAGCCUUGUCCAGCAUCCUUGCAGCAAGACUUUUCAGCCAAACAUCAAAGAACACUACCCUCCUCUGGUGAAGACAGACGUCUGCCUCAACAUUAACAGAAGAAAAUUCACCAAGAGCCUUGGGGAGACGUAACAAGAAAGACAUCUUCGGAAAAGGAAGGUGAAACUCCUCCAAAAGUCAAACCUUGGAAAAUUCUCCUAGAACCAGCUGUUCCAUCCUUAGUGAUACAAGAAACUAAAACCCAUGAAGACAAGACAUCAAUGAAGGCAGUGCUGCAACUGACUGGAAUAAUACUCACCUAGCAUGCUUUGAGGAAGACUCAGGUUUGAUCCCCAGACUACUCAAACAAAAUACAUAAUGAAGAGACAUUUCCCACUGCCCAUUGAGUUGUUUUAAAGUUUCGACUCCCUCUAGCCCCCAGCCUCAAACGUCUCUCUUGUAGUAUCCUGAAGCAAUAGAGAUGGUGCUCAUUAAAAAAAAAAAAAAAAAAAAAAAA